UAAAUUAUUUUAAAUAACAAGAAAUGCAUACAUUUCUCGUUAUUUAAAAUAUUGAUUUUUUGUUACAACAUUGUAAUUUUAGUAUCUACCUCUUGUGCUACACCUGGUAAGUUAAACAACUCUUUUUAAUGUGCACAAAUUUCUCAUUGAUUGCAAUAUUGAUUUUUAUAAUAUAUUUUUUACCUUUAGUUCUUUAUACGUGUGGCUACGCCUGGUAAGUUUCAAAACCUUUUUUCUUUUAACAUGUGUAUGCAUUUCUUAUCAAUUGCAUAUUCUUUUUUGCAAUUGCAUUUCUUAUCAACUGGUUUUUAAUUAAAACCAUUUUUAUAUAAAAAUUAUUACUUUUUAAACUAUGAAUGCAUUUAUUACCAUUUGCAAUUUGUAUUUUUUAUUAAAACAAAUUUUACUUUUAGUUCCAUCCCUACCACCUUUAAACUGUAAAUUUAUAAAUCUAGAAUGUCUCUGAUUUUUUACUGAGUUCCUCUCAUUUAUAUCAUCUAUUUAAUACUUUUGUGUUUUGUUAUCUCUCCAAGUGCUAUAAAAGGAGAAUCAGAAGCUUAUACAUGUUUGAGUUUUUAUUCUGAUUAACUUUUAUUAAAAAUUUCAUUGAUUUAUUAAUCAUUCUUUAUAUUUAUUCAGACAAUCUGUCUUAGUAAGUAUUUAUUUUAAUUUUUUUAAUUUUUAAUUACAUGAAUUACAAAUACAUUAAUAUUUUAUUUGUUUUUAGAGCUUACAUAUGAAGCUUAUAGGUCAUUUUGAUCUUAAAAUUAUAAUCAUUUACUAAAAGCCAAGACAUAGAGGUGUUAUAACAUCACAACCACAUCUAUGGUCAACUCUAAGAUCACCUUAUUUUGUUUGGCAGUGUUUUGGAAUCAAGUUAUGGCAAUAUUUUGUGUAUAAAAUAUAAAAAUUACAUUUAAAAAGUGCUUAUUUCUGACAAAAACUUGUAUUUUCUUAAGGGUUAGAUGGUGUUUCAUUACCCCCUCUGGCUCCCAAAAUACACCCUACAUCCAGGCACCAAAAUGAACUUGUAGCCCAUUAGUGCACCUAUCUUGUGAUACCAAGAUAUAGGUAUUUGGAUAAAAAUUGACAAAGUUAUAACAAUUUAAGU